AUUCUGCCCAAGCGGAGAAGGAUGAGAAGCUUCGACUAAGGUUCGACUAAGGUUCGACUCGAGCGCCAGCGAGAGAGCGUUGCCGCAGGCAACGACCUGAAGGGCGAAGCGCGCAGCGCUGAGUAAUCCUUCCCCCACCACCA
rnacentral:sRNA from 1 species